ACAAGACACUCUUGCUACCCAAUCCAACCGGGCUGUGUUCAGUUAGUUUAUCAAGAAAAGGUUAGGGAAACCUGGAUACAGAGGGGCCACUGCCCAUUGCAAGAAUGUCCUUCAUUAAAGAGGGGGGAGAAACUGGAGACACUCACUGACCCAGAACAAUGAAAGGUACUUACCGAAGAGGCAGGUGUAGAGCUUGCAGGAGGGAACCAGUGUGAUCCCGUACAGGGCUCCCACGUGCAGCAGGGCCAUGAGAAUGAUGUUCCUCCAGACGUACUCCAGCUUGGGCGGGGGCCCCUCCUCAUCCUGAUAGGUGGGGUCGUAUAUAUCUUCUUUCAUUUCAGGACGGAUGUCUUCUUCCAGGUAGAGGGGCACCGUCUUCACCUUCUCUCGUCCAUUCUGCAGGCUUCCAGAGGGAGGCGCUGUGAUGGUGGUGGUGGUCGUGUACGAAGGCGUCAUCUAUGAGGACAAGGAAGGAGACUUAGGAGAGCAGACUCCAGAAGAAGACACUCCCCUCUUGCAUACAGCACUAGGGUGCAUUAGAGGUCCAAUCCCUUCUCCAGGGUCUGGCUUAAUUAAGGCUUGGUGGAAGAGGAAGUGAGCAGAAACUGUAGAGACUGGUUGUCAAACCUCGAGGUGAAGGGGUGAACCCCUUACAUCACUGCAAGCCAAAGAAAGCCUCACAUGUACGCAUAAAGGUCAUCGAGUUCCUGUAGGGUGAUG
rnacentral:lncRNA from 1 species